UACGGAGGGUGCAAGCGUUAUCCGGAUUCACUGGGUUUAAAGGGUGCGUAGGUGGGCAAGUAAGUCAGUGGUGAAAUCUCCAGGCUUAACUUGGAAACUGCCAUUGAUACUAUCAGUCUUGAAUACCGUGGAGGUCAGCGGAAUAUGUCAUGUAGCGGUGAAAUGCUUAGAUAUGACAUAGAACACCAAUUGCGAAGGCAGCUGGCUACACGAAUAUUGACACUGAUGCACGAAAGCGUGGGGAUCAAACAGG
rnacentral:rRNA from 1 species